GAGAGUUCAUGUUGAAGGCCUGUUUCCUAGGCAGUAAGCAGAGGACUUGUUCCUCGUCUACUUACCUAAGGGAAAGUCACCGGACCCUAGGCAGAAAGUGCCAUGGGCUCACGCAGACUUUCCCUGCACCUCACAACUAACCCUGAAAGAAGAAAACCCAAUAUAUUUAAAACUAAUACAAAAAUUAAUUGGAGCACCACUUUAAAAUAGCCGAGCCCAAAUCACAGCCAUAAAAGUUCCAGUCUAACUUAAACUUUUAUUUUUCACAAGCUAUUAUUCCAAAACCGUCAAAGAGGAGUUUUUAGUCUGGGUCAUGAUGGACUGGGCAGUCCACACACCUACACAGGAGUCAAAGUUGGACACGUAAGUUUUCUAGACAGUUCCCAUGGUUUUCAUUACUUU
rnacentral:lncRNA from 1 species